rnacentral:lncRNA from 1 species
GCUGCGGGCCCUGCCUCCCUGCCUGCCGCCCUCCAUCCCUUCCUCUCCGUCCAUCCUUCGUCUCCUUCUGUUCCCGCUCUCCUCGCUCCUUUCCUGCCUUGGCACUUCUGUUUUCUCCUCUCCUUAGCGCUCCUCCAUUUUUCAUCUACUUCUUUUUCCGCCCCAGGUUGUCCACUUUUUUUUUGUUUUUUGAGACGGUGUCUUGCUCUUUCACCCAGGCCAGAGUGCAGUGGGGCGAUCUUGGCUCACUGCAAGCUCCGCCUCCCGGGUUCACACCAUUCUCCUGCCUCAGCCUCCCGAGUAGCUGGGACUACAGGCGCCCGCCACCGCGCCCGGCUCAUUUUUUGUAUUUUUAGUAGAGACGGGGUUUCACCGUGUUAGCCAGGAUGGUCUCCAUCUCCUGACCUCGUGAUCCGCCCACCUCCGCCUCCCAAAGUGCUGGGAUGGCAGGCGUGAGCCACCGCGCCCGGCUGGGUUGUCCACUUUUAUCUCCUCUUUUCCUUGAUCGUCCUCCCCUUUUUUUCUCCUCUUCCUUUUCCUUAAGCCUUCGCCUGUCAAUCACGUCGAAACACAGUAUUUGACCGGAGCCAGUAUCUUGAUCUGCCUAAAGACAAGACAUUCAAUCGUGAACAGUCGAAUAUUAUUCCUUCCUCAAUUAUACAAAGAAGAGCCUCACAAGCGGGAAAGAUGCCACCAACACCUGCAGGCUUAGAUUCUACCAGCUUCUCCGCUUAGAGAAGGUGCUUCUUUCCUAAUGAUUCCAGCCAAAGACCCAGGGCAGGCUCUCACUGGCCUGGCCUGGGCCUUGUUUCUACUGCAGUCAGGCAGUACCAAAGCAGGACCAGUCUGGGAUUGAUACGUGCUAAGCGAGGACAGCAUGAAUUGGUGGCAGCCAGUGCCAUCUUCCCCACCACAUGGAGAGAUGAGACACUGGUGAAGAUGUGGAGUCUCAGAGCAAGGGCCUGACAACUUGUUUCAGUAGUUUUUUCCUUUAGCUCGUGACCUAUACCAGAACCUAUUCCAGGUAUACAAACCAAUACUUUUUUUUUUUCGCUUAAGUUUGAGUUUGGCUUCUGUAGCUUACAACCAAAAUAAUUCUAAUUUGACCAGUAAAUGCGUUGCACAGAGGGAUGCGUCACCAGAAUAGGGUCAUCAUCCGAUGUGCACAGCAAGUCAAUGCGCCAAGACACCAGGCUGCAGCAGAGGAGGUUUGAAUCCUAGGGCCACUGGAUGUGGAGACAAGAAGAAACCAAAUCUGCCUCCCUGAUGAGUUUGGGGCUAGGAUUUUCAAGGGUUUUGGAGUGGGCUGAAGAAUGGAGAUUGCUGGUUUGUCAAGGAGAGCAGGAUGAAGCCGUGCUGAUUCUCAUGCUGAUUGGUUCCUUUGGGCAAGGGUUGGGGGUCUUCAAACUGGUUGGCAUCACCUGUUCGACUGGAGUUCAGGAUCUGCUUGAGCACUUCUUUCAUAUUUAUUUACUUAUUUUUGUUUUUUUAUUUUUUUCCCUGAGACAGAGUCUUGCUCUGUUGCCCAGGCUGGAGCACAGUGGCACAAUCUCGGCUUGUUGCAAGCUCCACCUCCCAGAUUCAAGCAAUUCUCCUGCCUCAGUUUCCCGAGUAGCUGGGAUUACAGAGGCACACCACCACACCCAGCUAAUUUUUGUAUUUUUAGUAGAGACGGGGUUUCACCACGUUGGCCAGGCUGGUCUUGAACUCCUGACCUCGUGAUUUACCCGCCUCGGCCUCCCAAAAUGCUGGGAUUACAGGUGUGAGCCACUGUACCCGGCCUAUAUUUAUUUAUGUUACUGUAUUUUUGAGACAGGUUCUCACUCUGUCACCCAGGCUGGAGUGCAGUGGCAUGAUCACGGCUCACUGCAGUCUCAACCUCCUUGGGCUCAGGUGAUCCUCCCACCUCAGCCUCCGGAGAGGCUGGGACUGCAGGCAUACACCACACCCCGUUAAUUGUUGUUGUUGACAUGGGGUUUCACCUUGUUGCCCAGGCUGGUCUCCAGCUCCUGCCCUCAAGCAAUCUGCCCGCCUCGGCCUCCCAAAGUGCUAGUAUUACAGGCGUGAGCCACUGUGCCAGGCUGCUUAAGUGAUUUUUAAACAAAAGCCUUAGGACCCUAACAUCAGAAAUCCCAUCUGUAGUAACAGCGGGGGUGCAUAAUGGUCAGUGUCCGGAGCUACAUGACUUUCUGUUACAAGGAAGUGGGCCUAAGUGCCGCCUGAUUAAUGCUUAAUUAUAACUAUAUUUCUGUCCGGGAUUCCUGUUAACUCUGAGAGGGUGGCCUCAGAUGGGUGGUUCAGUAAUGAAAAUGGACACCUAGGUGAUGGCCAUGAUUGUUGAUGUUGCCGUGGUGUCUGUCACUCAAACAUGACUGGGGCAUUGGAAUUCCAACCUGGGACUGAUGGAGAAUGUUGCUGUGGUUUGAAUAUUUGUCUCCUCCAGCACUCAUGAAGACAGAAUUAACAAUCAAAAGAGAAACAAAGCAGACAAAUUUGCAAAACUCAGCCUGGCCAUGUAGAAUGAAAAAGUGUGUUCAAAAGCAGAAACCAAGGGUGGCCCAGUGGUCUUUCACCAAGAUUAGUACAGAGAAAAAGGAUCAUCAAAGAGCAUGGAGCUGGUCACUCACGGUGGCUCACACCUGUAAUCCCAGCACUUUGGGAGGACGAGGCGGGGUGGAUCACCUGAGAUCAGGAGUUCGCGACCAGCCUGGCCAACAUGCUGAAACCAACCCCGUCUCUACUAAAAAUACAAAAAAUUAGCCGGGCGUGUUGGCAGUCGCCUGUAAUCCCAGCUACUUGGGAGGCUGAGGCAGGAGAAUUGCUUGAACCUGGGAGGUGGAGGUUGCAGCGAGCCGAGAUCAUGCCGUUGUACUCCAGCCUGGGCAACAAGAGCAAAACUCCACCUCAAAAAAAAAAAAAAAAAAAUAGAAGAAAGACCUCUAGGGCAUUUUGGAGGUCUUUGAGGCUACACUUGCUGUCACAGGCUCUGAGGCCUAGAGGGCCUAGAGGGCAGAAUGGUUUCAAGGGAUGGCCCAGUAUUGAGAGGUGGGGUCUUUAAGAGGUGAUUGGGCCAUGAGGACUCUCCCAGGCUGGCAGAUCGCUUGAGCUCAGGAGGUUGAGACCAGCCUGAGCAACAUAGCAAAACCCCAUCUCUACAAAAAAUACAAAAAAUGAGCGGGUUUUGGUAGAUAUUGCCAAAUGGCUCUUUGAAAAGUCUGUACCAGUUUAUAUUUCCACCAACAGUGUAUAAAAGUCUGUUUCCUUUUUUCAAGUCAACUAAAACUCUGUCUCCGACUCUGUUUCUCUCUGUCUCUUACACAUACAUGAAUAAGAGUCUAAGGGAAAUAAGUAUUUGAAUUUCACAGUAUGUAUAUAUGAAGGUAAAUAAUUCCUCAAAGUUUCUCUGACAAUGUUCUCAAGGUUAGGUUACCCUAUUUUCUUUAACUGAGGUAAAAUUCAGCCCACAUGAAUGAAUGAAUUCAUUCAUGGAUUAAUUAAUGGGUUAUCAUGGGAGAGGAACUGGUGGCUUUGUAGGAAGAGGAAGACAGACCUGAGCUAGCACCUUCGCACACCCAUCCCUGUUGCCAUCUGAUGCCUUGUGCUGCUUUGGGACUGCAGGGAGUCCCCACCAGCAGGAAGUCCCCACCAGAUGUGGCCCCUUGACUUUGGACUUCUCAGCCUGCAGAACUGUAAGAAAUAAAUUCCUUUUCCAUAUAAAUUACCCAGUUUAAGAUACUCUGUUAUAGGCAAAAGAAAACGAAUGAAGACAAAUGUGGACCAUUACUGUAUGGGUCCAGCAGCUGGAUUUGCCAGGGGCCCCAGAGAUAUGCAGUGUCGAUUACAGACUGACCACAAGAACCAAAAUGCGCAGGAGAAUGAUGAAUGAAGCAGGUCCCAAGGUUUAUUUGCAAGAAAAAUUUGAACAGCCGUGUGACAAACCCGCUUCUAGUAGGAAAGCACAUUCUAGAGGGAAGCAAAGCCAUUCGGAGGUUGUUUGGUGAGUCUGAAAUACAGACCUGUGGAGCCAUUCAGCUCUUAACAGUCUGACACCUCCUCUCUAGGGCUGCAGGCUUAGUGGCCAAAGACCAGCGCUGGUGACAAAAAUUUCCCACUGCCAUGCAGUGCCAGAGACAUGGACACACCCUGGACAUCUGUCUCCCUUUCUCUGGACUUGAGGCUUGCAGGCCACAGUUCUCCUUAGAUAGGGCCUGGUAUCGUAGAUGAAGUUUCAGAUCCCAAUCAUAUCUUACCCCUAUUAUCCUUUGUCCCUGAGCCCAUUGUAUUAGCCUGCAAUUGGCUGAAAACCUAACUCAAACAGCUUUAAGAGGGGGACAAAGGAAUUAGUUGGCUCACGUAGCAUUAAAAGACCAGGAAGAUGGCCAGGCAUGGUGGUUCAAGCCUGUAAUCCCAGCACUUUGGGAGGCCAAGGCAGGCGGAUCAUGAGGUCAGGAGAUGGAGACCAUCCUGGCUAAUACAGUGAAACCCCGUCUCUACUGAAAAUACAAAAAAAAAUAGCUGGGUGUGGUGGCGGGCGCCUGUAGUCCCAGCCACUCGGGAGGCUGAGGCAGGAGAAUGGUGUGAACCCGGGAGGUGGAGCUUGCAGUGAGCUGAGAUCGCACCACUGCACUCCAGCCUGGGCGACAAAGCGAGACUCCAUCUCAAAAAAAAAGAAAGACCAGGAAGAGUCCACUAGCUGCAGGUGUGGCUUGAUCUGGGAGCUAAUGCCACUCGGUUCUGCUCACCUCCAUGGUGACUUUAUCAUCAGGUGCCACAUUCAAGAAAAGGGGAUACCAUCUCCUUCAAGGUUCAAGCCUGGCAGGAAAGAGAAUGUCCCCAAAAUGGUCGAACAGAGGUCCUAGGCCUGACUCAUUUCCAUCUCUGAAUCAAACACCAUGUUCUGGCAUGUGUCAUACACCAGUCAGGAAGAAGUCACAUGCCCUACUUGUGGAGGCAGAUCGUCUUCAGCUGCACUCAAGCAUAUAUGGAAAGAGUUGAUGGGGGCCGGGUGCGGGAGCUCAUGCCUGUAAUCCCAGCACUUUGGGAGGCUGUGGCGGAUGGAUCACUUGGCGCCAGGAGUUCGAGACCAGCCUUGCCCACAUGGUAAAACCCUGUCUCUACUAAAAAUACAAAAAAUUAGCCAGGCAUGGUAGCGCAUGCUUGUAAUCUCAGCUACUUGGGAGGCUGAAGCAGAAGAAUCAUUGAACCUGGGAGGCAGAGGUUGCAGUGAGCCAAGAUCACACCAUUGCACUCCAGCCUGGGCAACAAGAGUGAAACUCUGUCUCAAAAAAAAAAAAAAAAUUAGUGUGGAGUAGUCAGAGGAAAAUCAGGGAUACCGUUGCUGGAAGAAAGAGGAAUAGAAGCAGCAAGGAAGAAAGGCAGAGGCCUGAGGUCCACGUAGAAGCAGCAAGGAAGAAAGAGGCAGAGGCCCGAGGUCCACGUAGAAGCAGCAAGGAAGAAAGAGGCAGAGGCCUGAGGUCCACGUAGAAGCAGCAAGGAAGAAAGGCAGAGGCCCGAGGUCCACGUAGAAGCAGCAAGGAAGAAAGAGGCAGAGGCCCGAGGUCCACGUAGAAGCAGCAAGGAAGAAAGAGGCAGAGGCCCGAGGUCCACGUAGAAGCAGCAAGGAAGAAAGAGGCAGAGGCCCGAGGUCCACGUAGAAGCAGCAAGGAAGAAAGAGGCAGAGGCCCGAGGUCCACGUAGAAGCAGCAAGGAAGAAAGAGGCAGAGGCCCGAGGUCCACGUAGAAGCAGCAAGGAAGAAAGAGGCAGAGGCCCGAGGUCCACGUAGAAGCAGCAAGGAAGAAAGAGGCAGAGGCCCGAGGUCCACGUAGAAGCAGCAAGGAAGAAAGAGGCAGAGGCCCGAGGUCCACGUAGAAGCAGCAAGGAAGAAAG